GGUCGAAUGGUCUAGUUGGUUAUGGCAUCUGCUUAACACGCAGAAAGUCCCCAGUUCGAUCCUGGGUUUGAUCA
rnacentral:tRNA from 1 species